rnacentral:rRNA from 1 species
UACAGAGGCCUCAAGCGUUAUCCGGAAUUACUGGGCGUAAAGGGUGUGUAGGUGGUCUAGUUAGUCUUUUGUUAAAUUCUUCGGCUUAACCGGGGGCAUGCAAGGGAAACGGCUAGACUUGAGGGUGUGAGAGGUGCACGGAACUCAUGGAGUAGGGGUGAAAUCCGUUGAUAUCAUGAGGAACACCAAAAGCGAAGGCAGUGCACUGGCACAUUCCUGACACUCAAACACGAAAGCGUGGGUAGCGAAUGGG